rnacentral:Y_RNA from 1 species
AGGUCCAAGGUAGUGAGUUAUCUCACUUGUUCAGUCAGUUACAGAUUGAACUCCCUGUUCUACUCUUCCCUCCCUUCUCACCACAUUUGACAACUUUUU